rnacentral:rRNA from 1 species
GGUUGUCGUCAGCUCGUGUCGUGAGAUGUUGGGUUAAGUCCCGCAACGAGCGCAACCCCUACGUUUAGUUGCUAACGCGUGAAGGCGAGCACUCUAGACGAACUGCCGUUGACAAAACGGAGGAAGGUGGGGAUGACGUCAAAUCAUCAUGCCCCUUAUGUUCUGGGCUACACACGUGCUACAAUGGCCGGUACAGACGGACGCAAAGCCGCGAGGUGGAGCAAAUCCUAAAAAGCCGGUCUCAGUUCGGAUUGCAGGCUGCAAUUCGCCUGCAUGAAGUCGGAAUCGCUAGUAAUCGCAGGUCAGCAUACUGCGGUGAAUACGUUCCCGGGCCUU